rnacentral:rRNA from 1 species
UUUUCCUACGGGGGGCAGCAGUGGGGAAUAUUGCACAAUGGGGGAAACCCUGAUGCAGCGACGCCGCGUGAGCGAUGAAGUAUUUCGGUAUGUAAAGCUCUAUCAGCAGGGAAGAAAAUGACGGUACCUGACUAAGAAGCCCCGGCUAACUACGUGCCAGCAGCCGCGGUAAUACGUAGGGGGCAAGCGUUAUCCGGAUUUACUGGGUGUAAAGGGAGCGUAGACGGCAGGGCAAGUCUGGAGUGAAAGGCGGGGGCUCAACCCCCGGACUGCUCUGGAAACUGCCAGGCUGGAGUGCAGGAGAG